GAUGAACGCUGGCGGCGUGCCUAAUACAUGCAAGUCGAGCGAACGGACGAGAAGCUUGCUUCUCUGAUGUUAGCGGCGGACGGGUGAGUAACACGUGGAUAACCUACCUAUAAGACUGGGAUAACUUCGGGAAACCGUAGCUAAUACCGGAUAAUAUUUUGAACCGCAUGGUUCAAAAGUGAAAGACGGUCUUGCUGUCACUUAUAGAUGGAUCCGCGCUGCAUUAGCUAGUUGGUAAGGUAACGGCUUACCAAGGCACGAUGCAUAGCCGACCUGAGAGGGUGAUCGGCCACACUGGAACUGAGACACGGUCCAGACUCCUACGGGAGGCAGCAGUAGGGAAUCUUCCGCAAUGGGCGAAAGCCUGACGGAGCAACGCCGCGUGAGUGAUGAAGGUCUUCGGAUCGUAAAACUCUGUUAUUAGGGAAGAACAUAUGUGUAAGUAACUGUGCACAUCUUGACGGUACCUAAUCAGAAAGCCACGGCUAACUACGUG
rnacentral:rRNA from 1 species